rnacentral:tRNA from 1 species
UACUCGUUGAUGUAAAGUGCAUGAAAAGUUUUGAUUUUUUAAGAAAUGGUGUAAUUCCAUUACGUGUAA